rnacentral:rRNA from 1 species
UACGUAGGGGGCUAGCGUUGUCCGGAAUCAUUGGGCGUAAAGCGCGUGUAGGCGGCCCGGUAAGUCCGCUGUGAAAGUCGGGGGCUCAACCCUCGAAAGCCGGUGGAUACUGUCGGGCUCGAGUACGGAAGAGGCGAGUGGAAUUCCUGGUGUAGCGGUGAAAUGCGCAGAUAUCAGGAGGAGCACCAAUUGCGAAGGCAGCUCGCUGGGACGUUACUGACGCUGAGACGCGAAAGCGUGGGGAGCAAACAGG